rnacentral:SRP_RNA from 1 species
GGGCACGGUGGCAUGUGCCUGGGUCCCAACUAUUCGGGAGAUUGAGGCUGGAGGAUAGCUUCAGUCCAGGAGUUCUGGGCUGUAGUGCGCUAUGUCGAUCGGGUGUCUGCACUAAGUUCGGCAUCAAUAUGGUGACCUCCCUGGAGCCGGGGACCAUCAGGUUGCUUAAGGAGGGGUGAACCGGCCCAGGUCUGAAACGGAGUAGGUGAAAACUCCUGUGCUGAUCAGUAGUGGGACCGCACCUGUGAAUAGCCACUACACUCCAGCCUGGGCAACAUGGUGAGACCCUGUUUCUA